GACGAACGCUGGCGGCGUGCCUAAUACAUGCAAGUAGAACGCUGAAGGAGGAGCUUGCUCUUCUGGAUGAGUUGCGAACGGGUGAGUAACGCGUAGGUAACCUGCCUGGUAGCGGGGGAUAACUAUUGGAAACGAUAGCUAAUACCGCAUAACAGUAGAUGUUGCAUGACAUUUACUUAAAAGGUGCAAUUGCAUCACUACCAGAUGGACCUGCGUUGUAUUAGCUAGUUGGUGGGGUAACGGCUCACCAAGGCGACGAUACAUAGCCGACCUGAGAGGGUGAUCGGCCACACUGGGACUGAGACACGGCCCAGACUCCUACGGGAGGCAGCAGUAGGGAAGCUUCGGCAAUGGACGGAAGUCUGACCGAGCAACGCCGCGUGAGUGAAGAAGGUUUUCGGAUCGUAAAGCUCUGUUGUAAGAGAAGAACGAGUGUGAGAGUGGAAAGUUCACACUGUGACGGUAUCUUACCAGAAAGGGACGGCUAACUACGUG
rnacentral:rRNA from 1 species